rnacentral:rRNA from 1 species
AACGAACGCUGGCGGCAUGCCUAACACAUGCAAGUCGAACGAGACCUUCGGGUCUAGUGGCGCACGGGUGCGUAACGCGUGGGAACCUGCCCUUAGGUUCGGAAUAACUCCCCGAAAGGGGUGCUAAUACCGGAUAAUGUCUUCGGACCAAAGAUUUAUCGCCUUUGGAUGGGCCCGCGUUGGAUUAGCUAGUUGGUAGGGUAAAAGCCUACCAAGGCGACGACCCAUAGCUGGUCUGAGAGGAUGAUCAGCCACACUGGGACUGAGACACGGCCCAGACUCCUACGGGAGGCAGCAGUGGGGAAUAUUGGACAAUGGGCGAAAGCCUGAUCCAGCAAUGCCGCGUGAGUGAUGAAGGCCUUAGGGUUGUAAAGCUCUUUUACCCGGGAUGAUAAUGACAGUACCGGGAGAAUAAGCGCCGGCUAACUCCGUG